rnacentral:tRNA from 1 species
GAGGGUAUAGCUCAGUGACAGAGUGCCUGCUUAGCAUGCACAGGAUCCUGGGUUCAAUUCCCAGUAUCUCCA